CCUACGGGAGGCAGCAGUGGGGAAUAUUGGACAAUGGGCGCAAGCCUGAUCCAGCAAUGCCGCGUGAGUGAUGAAGGCCUUAGGGUUGUAAAGCUCUUUUACCAGGGAAUGAUAAUGACAGUACCUGGAGAAUAAGCUCCGGCUAACUCCGUGCCAGCAGCCGCGGUAAUACGGAGGGAGCUAGCGUUGUUCGGAAUUACUGGGCGUAAAGCGUACGUAGGCGGUUAUUCAAGUCAGAGGUGAAAGCCCGGGGCUCAACCCCGGAACUGCCUUUGAAACUAGGUAGCUAGAAUCUUGGAGAGGUCAGUGGAAUUCCGAGUGUAGAGGUGAAAUUCGUAGAUAUUCGGAAGAACACCAGUGGCGAAGGCGACUGACUGGACAAGUAUUGACGCUGAGGUACGAAAGCGUGGGGAGCAAACAGGAUUAGAUACCCUGGUAGUCCACGCCGUAAACGAUGAUAACUAGCUGUCCGGUCACUUGGUGACUGGGUGGCGCAGCUAACGCAUUAAGUUAUCCGCCUGGGGAGUACGGUCGCAAGAUUAAAACUUAAAGGAAUUGAACGG
rnacentral:rRNA from 1 species